CCCAUCUCAGGAUCACACCUGGAGAGUGACCAAUACUCUGCCAGUCUCGACUAUGGGAGGGAGAGUCAAGCAGAGGCAUACCCAUUCCAUUCCUAGCUUGGUCAGUAACUAGCAAGUGGAAGGCAAUCUGCUCCAAAU